AAAAGAAGAAGAAAGCGAACCGAGAGGCCGUCAAAUCGAAUCCUCCACGUUGAGGCAGCACAUCCCCCUGCUCCUGCCCUCCACGCUCCACUCACCAGUCAGCCGCCGCCCGCACGCUGCCGCCGGCCGGCCUGGCGGCGGGCUCCUCCGCUCUUCUCGUCCCUCAAGCCUCCGUCCUCCUCCCCUUCCACUGCUAGCCCCCUCCUCGGGUCCGGCCGCCUCCGCCAGUCACCUGCGGCCCUCGGUUGUCUGCCCCUCCUCCUCGGGGCCGGACGGGCAGGGCAGGCACGCCGCACGCGGGCACGCCGCCGGCCGCUGGAGUGCCGGCCGCGCCGGAUACCGUUCAGAUGAACACGGAUCCAGGCGAGAAGAGGCCAUUCGGCGAUCUGGACGACGAGGACGAUGACGUCUUCGCUUCCAAGAAGGCAAAGACAAAGGUCGAGGAAAGUGCACCAGGAGCUGCGACAGGAAUGAUUCUGUCUCUUCGUGAAAGUUUGCAGGACUGUAAACAUAGCCUUGCAUCCUGCCAGGUGGAACUGGAAGCUGCCAAAUCAGAAAUUGAGAAGUGGCAUUCAGCAUUUCAGAACAUUCCAGCUCUACCUUCUGGAACUAAUCCAGAUCCUGUUUCAGUGGUUUCAUACCUGAGUAACCUGAAGUCAUCAGAAGAGUCAUUGAAGGAGCAGCUGGAGAAAGCAAAAAAAAGGGAGGCCGCUUAUAUUGUAACAUUUGCAAAACGGGAGCAGGAGAUUGCAGAAUUGAAGUCUGCAGUUAGAGAUUUAAAAACUCAAUUAAGGCCACCAUCAAUGCAGACAAGGAGAUUGUUGCUUGAUCCAGCAAUUCAUGAGGAAUUUACACGCUUAAAGAAUCUUGUGGAGGAGAAAGAGAAAAAAAUAAAGGAACUACAGGACAAUGUUGCUGCUGUCAAUUUUACUCCAUCGAGCAAACUUGGGAAAAUGCUAAUGGCUAAAUGUAGAACAUUGCAAGAGGAAAAUGAAGAGAUUGGGGCAAUGGCAUCAGAAGGAAAAAUCCAUGAGCUUGGAAUGAAAAUUGCAGUUCUGAAGUCUCAGAACAAUGAGCUCAGGAAUCAAUUUGAUGUGUUGUACUUUUUGUACUUCCUUGAAAUGAUACACAGCUCCAUACAUGUUAGAGGAAAAAAAGGAUUAGUUUGCUGAGAACCGUUUACUCUGUUUUGUAUAAACACAUGGAUGGUGUAACAAAUGACGUGGAGAGAUCAAACGAAAUGUUAUCCAUUCUGCAAGAGGAGUUGGAAGCCAAGGAUCUAGAGGUGGCAAGAUUGAAGGAGAUGCUUUCCCAGAAAGAAGCUACUCAUGACACAGCGGUUGAAGAAGAGAGAGACGAAGCUGCGAAUGAUAUGAAUACAGCUUCAGAUCCAAUGGAAGUCAAAGUGGAAAGUUGAGGUAGUUUCCCGUAGGGCUGGCAACUAGGUGGGCUGUCCUGAGAAAUCCAUAUGUACUUUCUUUCAAAAAAAAAAUCCAUAUGUACUCUGCAGCAGGCUAAAUGACUGUAUUUCUUUGGAGAUGUACCAAAAAGUUUUAUUUUGAUGGAUGGCUUUGACCAGAACUGAUGCAUAACUUUUGAAUCUUGCCCUCUCGAAGGCCCGAGGGAAAAAAAGGAAAAACUUGCAUAA